GGUUAAGCGACUAAGCGUACACGGUGGAUGCCCUGGCAGUCAGAGGCGAUGAAGGACGUGCUAAUCUGCGAAAAGCGUCGGUAAGGUGAUAUGAACCGUUACAGCCGGCGAUGUCCGAAUGGGGAAACCCAGUGCAAUUCGUUGCACUAUCGUUAACUGAAUACAUAGGUUAACGAGGCGAACCGGGGGAACUGAAACAUCUAAGUACCCCGAGGAAAAGAAAUCAACCGAGAUUCCCCCAGUAGCGGCGAGCGAACGGGGAGCAGCCCAGAGUCUGAAUCAGCUUGUGUGUUAGUGGAACGGUCUGGAAAGUCCGACGGUACAGGGUGAUAGUCCCGUACACCAAAAUGCACAGGCUGUGAACUCGAAGAGUAGGGCGGGACACGUGGUAUCCUGUCUGAAUAUGGGGGGACCAUCCUCCAAGGCUAAAUACUCCUGACUGACCGAUAGUGAACCAGUACCGUGAGGGAAAGGCGAAAAGAACCCCGGCGAGGGGAGUGAAAAAGAACCUGAAACCGUGUACGUACAAGCAGUGGGAGCACCUUCGGGUGUGACUGCGUACCUUUUGUAUAAUGGGUCAGCGACUUAUAUUCUGUAGCAAGGUUAACCGUAUAGGGGAGCCGCAGGGAAACCGAGUCUUAACUGGGCGUUAAGUUGCAGGGUAUAGACCCGAAACCCGGUGAUCUAGCCAUGGGCAGGUUGAAGGUUGGGUAACACUAACUGGAGGACCGAACCGACUAAUGUUGAAAAAUUAGCGGAUGACUUGUGGCUGGGGGUGAAAGGCCAAUCAAACCGGGAGAUAGCUGGUUCUCCCCGAAAGCUAUUUAGGUAGCGCCUCGUGAACUCAUCUUCGGGGGUAGAGCACUGUUUCGGCUAGGGGGUCAUCCCGACUUACCAACCCGAUGCAAACUACGAAUACCGAAGAAUGUUAUCACGGGAGACACACGGCGGGUGCUAACGUCCGUCGUGAAGAGGGAAACAACCCAGACCGCCAGCUAAGGUCCCAAAAGUCAUGGUUAAGUGGGAAACGAUGUGGGAAGGCACAGACAGCCAGGAUGUUGGCUUAGAAGCAGCCAUCAUUUAAAGAAAGCGUAAUAGCUCACUGGUCGAGUCGGCCUGCGCGGAAGAUGUAACGGGGCUAAACCAUGCACCGAAGCUGCGGCAGCGACACUAUGUGUUGUUGGGUAGGGGAGCGUUCUGUAAGCCUGCGAAGGUGACCUGUGAGGGUUGCUGGAGGUAUCAGAAGUGCGAAUGCUGACAUAAGUAACGAUAAAGCGGGUGAAAAGCCCGCUCGCCGGAAGACCAAGGGUUCCUGUCCAACGUUAAUCGGGGCAGGGUGAGUCGACCCCUAAGGCGAGGCCGAAAGGCGUAGUCGAUGGGAAACAGGUUAAUAUUCCUGUACUUGGUGUUACUGCGAAGGGGGGACGGAGAAGGCUAUGUUAGCCGGCGACGGUUGUCCGGUUUAAGCAUGUAGGCUGGUUGUCCAGGCAAAUCCGGAUAAUCAAGGCUGAGGUGUGAUGACGAGGCACUACGGUGCUGAAGUAACAAAUGCCCUGCUUCCAGGAAAAGCCUCUAAGCAUCAGGUAACAUUAAAUCGUACCCCAAACCGACACAGGUGGUCAGGUAGAGAAUACCAAGGCGCUUGAGAGAACUCGGGUGAAGGAACUAGGCAAAAUGGUGCCGUAACUUCGGGAGAAGGCACGCUGGUGUGUAGGUGAAGUCCCUGCGGAUGGAGCUGAGACCAGUCGAAGAUACCAGCUGGCUGCAACUGUUUAUUAAAAACACAGCACUGUGCAAACACGAAAGUGGACGUAUACGGUGUGACGCCUGCCCGGUGCCGGAAGGUUAAUUGAUGGGGUUAUCCGUAAGGAGAAGCUCUUGAUCGAAGCCCCGGUAAACGGCGGCCGUAACUAUAACGGUCCUAAGGUAGCGAAAUUCCUUGUCGGGUAAGCCUGCACGAAUGGCGUAAUGAUGGCCAGGCUGUCUCCACCCGAGACUCAGUGAAAUUGAACUCGCUGUGAAGAUGCAGUGUACCCGCGGCAAGACGGAAAGACCCCGUGAACCUUUACUAUAGCUUGACACUGAACAUUGAGCCUUGAUGUGUAGGAUAGGUGGGAGGCUUUGAAGCGUGGACGCCAGUCUGCGUGGAGCCAACCUUGAAAUACCACCCUUUAAUGUUUGAUGUUCUAACGUUGGCCCCUGACCGGGGUUGCGGACAGUGUCUGGUGGGUAGUUUGACUGGGGCGGUCUCCUCCCAAAGCGUAACGGAGGAGCACGAAGGUUAGCUAAUCCUGGUCGGACAUCAGGAGGUUAGUGCAAUGGCAUAAGCUAGCUUGACUGCGAGCGUGACGGCGCGAGCAGGUGCGAAAGCAGGUCAUAGUGAUCCGGUGGUUCUGAAUGGAAGGGCCAUCGCUCAACGGAUAAAAGGUACUCCGGGGAUAACAGGCUGAUACCGCCCAAGAGUUCAUAUCGACGGCGGUGUUUGGCACCUCGAUGUCGGCUCAUCACAUCCUGGGGCUGAAGUAGGUCCCAAGGGUAUGGCUGUUCGCCAUUUAAAGUGGUACGCGAGCUGGGUUUAGAACGUCGUGAGACAGUUCGGUCCCUAUCUGCCGUGGGCGCUGGAGAAUUGAGGGGGGCUGCUCCUAGUACGAGAGGACCGGAGUGGACGCAUCACUGGUGUUCGGGUUGUCAUGCCAAUGGCACUGCCCGGUAGCUAAAUGCGGAAGAGAUAAGUGCUGAAAGCAUCUAAGCACGAAACUUGCCCCGAGAUGAGUUCUCCCUGAGACUUUAAGUCUCCUGAAGGAACGUUAAAGACGAUGACGUUGAUAGGCCGGGUGUGUAAGCGCAGCGAUGCGUUGAGCUAACCGGUACUAAUGAACCGUGAGGCUUAACCUU
rnacentral:rRNA from 1 species